rnacentral:lncRNA from 1 species
UAAAACUGAUCCAAAGGCCAAAUUACAACCUAACCCAAUUACAAGGCCCAAUUGGCCUAAGAUAACAGAAGCCCUAAGCAGCAGGUAGCCUCAGCGCCGCACGUUCCCACGUUGCAGCAACCGCCCAUCACCCACGUCGUUUCACCCAUGAUCAGUAACUCCGCAUAACGCCGAUUCCACCUGCAAUAAAUCAAAAAACAGAGGGAUUGAUCAAAGGGGGGCAGUAGAG